ensembl:lncRNA
GGCGAUAUUUGGUGUUGUGGUUGCGAUAUCUCACAGCGAAUAUCGCGAUAUUUGGUGUUGUGGUUGCGAUAUCUCACAGCAAAUAUCGCGAUAUUUGGUGUUGUGGUUGCGAUAUCGCAGUCGAAUCGCGAUAUUUGGUGUUGUGGUUGUGAUAUCUCAUGGAAUAUCAAUUUUCCCAUGGAAUUCCCAGGAUUUUCCCAUGGAAUUCCCAGGGAUUUUCCCAUGGAAUUCCCGGGGAUUUUCCCAUGGAUUUUCCCAUGGAAUUCCCAGGAUUUUUCCAUGGAAUUCCCAGACUUUUCCAUGGAUUUUUCCCAUGGAAUUCCCGGCAUUUUCCCAGGGAUUUUCCCGGGAUUUGGGGUCUCACCUGCUCCCCCCAGGAGCCCCAGGGUGACAAAACCCCCCCGAAUUCCCCCCGUUUUUUAGGGAUUUGAACCCCCAGGAAUUCCGGGAUUUUCCCGGGAUUUUCCCAUGGAAUUCCCGGGAUUUUCCCAUGGGUUUUUCCCGGGAUUUGGGGUCUCACCUGCGGCGCUGGGGCCCCCCCAGGAGCCCCAGGGUGAAUCCCACGGCCACGCAGACGCCCAGGGCGGCCCCGAGCGGGGCCAGGCGGCGCCAGCCGGGGGGGGGGGCCCCCAUGGGAUCCCCGAAUUCCCGCUCCGGUCCCGGAAUUCCUGACACGGAUCCCAAAAAAAAUCCUGACACGGAUCCCAAAAAUUCCUGUCACGGAUCCCCGAAUUCCCGCUCCGGUCCCGGAAUUCCUGACACGGAUCCCAAAAAAUUCCUGUCACGGAUCCCAAAAAACCCUGACACAGAUCCCAAAAUUCCCGCUCCGAUCCCAAAAAUCCUGUCCCGAUCCCAAAAAAUUCCAGUCCCGAUCCCAAAUUCCCGUCCCGGAUCCCCAAAUCCCAAUUCCCAGAGCUCCCAAAUCCCAUUCCCGGUCCCAUUCCCGGUUUUUCCCCAUCCCAUUCCCGGUUUUUCGGUUUUUCCCGGUCCCAUUCCCGGUCCCAUUCCCGGUUUUUCCCCAUCCCAUUCCCGGUUUUUCCGGUUUUUCCCGGUCCCAUUCCCGGUCCCAUUCCCGGUCCCAUUCCCGGUUUUUCCCGGUUUUUCCCGGUUUUUCCCGGUUUUUCCCGGUUUUUCCCCUCUCACCGCGGCCUCGCUCAGCUCCGCCGCAUCCCGGGACGAUCCCAAAAAACUUCCCGGGAAUCUCCAGAAAACUUCCCGCGAACGCCGGACUUUCCCGCGAACGCCGGACUUUCCCGCGAACGCCGGACUUUCCCGGGAAUCCCGGAUUUUCCCGGGAACGCCGGAUUUUCCCGGGAACGCCGAGCUCUUCCCGCUUUUCCCGAUCCUUCUGUUCCCGGCCCCGCGGAACUUUUCCCCCUUUGUCCCCGGCCCCGCCCCGGGAAUGGGGAGGAGCGGCCGGGAGGGAACGGGGGAACUCGGGAUUUGGGAUUUGGGAAUUCGGGAAUUCGGGAAUUCGGGAAUUUGGGAUCGGGGAUUUGGGAUUUGGGAUCGGGAAUGGGGAGGAGCGGCCGGGAGGGAACGGGGGAACUCGGGAUUUGGGAUUUGGGAAUUCGGGAAUUCGGGAAUUCGGGAAUUUGGGAUCGGGAAUUGGGGAGGAGCGGCCGGGAGGGAACGGGGGAAUUCGGGAUUUGGGAAUUCGGGAUUUGGGAUUUGGGAUUUGGGAUCGGGAAUUUGGGAUUUGGGAUCGGGAAUUCGGGACUUGGGGAUUUGGGAUCGGGAAUUUCGGGAUUUGGGAUCGGGAAUUCGGGAAUUUGGGAUUUGGGACAGGGAACGGGGCAGAGCGGGAAUGGAUUCGGGAAUUCGGGAAUUUGGGAUUUGGGGAAUUUGGGAUCGGGAAGUGGGGCAGGGAAUGGGAUUUUAGGGCCAGGAACAGGAUCGGGACUGGGAUUUGGGAUCGGGAAUUUGGGAAUUCGGGAUUUGGGAUCGGGAAUUUUGGGAUCCAGCCCCCUCCGAACCCCGAAUUCCCGGCAGAAUUCCCAAAUUUCGGGGGAUUUUGGGAUCUCUCCCUACACGAGGAGGCCCCGCCCACUCCUCGCAUAACCACGCCCACUACUCGCAUAUCCCCGCCCCUUCAGAUCACGUGAUGUGGGACCUGUCCCCGCCCCCCGAGGCGCGGGAAAGUGCCGGCCGC